AAAAGCGGUUCCGCUCGCUGCCGUUUUGAGUCCCGAACGCGGCGUGCCCAGAAAAGGCCAGGAGCCGAGUGAGGAAAUUCAUUUGGCACAAAACUUGUGCUGCUGCUUUUCCUUUCUCUGUUCCAAAUGUCCCAUGUUUAGUUCUGGAACAGCCUCGGUGUGACGUAUGACGUUGGACGAGUUCCACCCCUUCAUUGAGGCGCUCCUGCCGCAGGUGCGCGCCUUCGCCUACACGUGGUUCAACCUGCAGGCCAGGAAGAGAAAGUACUUCAAGAAGCACGAGAAGAGGAUGACCAAAGACGAAGAGCGGGCCGUUAAGGAAGAGCUCCUCGGCGAGAAGGCAGAGGUGAAGCAGAAGUGGGCCAGUCGCCUUCUGGCUAAACUGCGGAAAGACAUCCGUCCAGAAUGUCGAGAGGACUUUGCCAUGUCGGUGACGGGCAAGAAGGCGGCCUGCUGCGUCCUGUCCAACCCUGACCAGAAAGGCAAAAUGCGACGCAUCGACUGCCUCAGACAGGCCGACAAGGUGUGGCGGCUGGACCUGGUGAUGGUGAUCCUGUUCAAGGGGAUCCCGCUGGAGAGCACGGACGGCGAGCGUCUGGUCAAGGGUGGCCAGUGUGCCAACCCGCUGCUGUGCGUGCAGCCCGGACACAUCUCCGUCUCCGUCAAGGAGCUCGACCUUUACCUGGCCUACUACGUCCAUCACAAAGAGGAGGGGAGCAGUCCCGCUCGGACGGCAUCCGAUCAGGAGGACGGUCGCGGCACCGCGACGGAUGGUCCCGAGUUCCGAGACGCCUUUGUGACCUCUGGAGUUUUCAACGUCACCGAGCUGGUGCGGGUGUCCAGAACUCCCGUCGUCUCAGGGGUGGCGCCGAGUUUCUCCAUUGGCGAGCUUCAAGGCCACCUGGCCUAUGAUCUCAACCACGCAAUCCCCCAGUCCGUCAACAUGCGCCGCUCGCUCACCAGCACCUCGUCUGGCGGGAGCAAGCGGCAUAAAUCGGGCUCCGUGGAGGAGGAGGUGAACAGUCCAGGAGGAGAAUAUUACCACUCGCCGUCCUCCCCGGCCAGCAGUUCCAGAAACUGGACGGACGACAUGGAAGGAGGUGUGUCUCCUCCAGUGAAGAAGGCCGAGCUGGAUAGUCCUUCAGCGCGGGAGGACUCGCCCAGGUCCUUCACUCAGCAUCAUCGGCCUGUCAUCGCAGUGCACAGCGGCCUGUCCCGCGCUCACCCGUCGCAGUCUUUGCACUUUGCCUCCUCGUCCUACUUCCCGCACGGAGCCAUCCGUUACCCUCCUCACUUAGGCCAGGACCCACUGAAGGAUCUGGUCUCUCUGGCCUGUGAGCCCGCCAAUCAAAGCUCGCAUAAUGGCAGCAACCAGCUCAAAGCAAGCGACCACUACCUGUCCUCUCAGAUGCUGGCGCCCGGCCUGGGGCCGUCGUCCUUGGGUCGGCCCGCCGACGUCAAGCCCGCCAGCACCUCCUCGGAUGCGGCCACGAGCUCGCCCACGUCACCAACGUACUCGGCUCCCGGAACCCCGGGGACGCCCCCCGCCGCUCGUUCUUCCUUUGUGGGCAUCGCGCCUCGAGACCCCGGUGGACUCUACCAAGCCCAGGUUGGUCCCGACCUCGCUGCACACUCGUACUGAGUCUUACAAAGUCCAUCUGCUGUGGGCACCCGGCGUCGAAUUGGACAUCGAGCGACACAUCGGCACGUUAAACUCUUGGUAUCUGGGCAACUGAAACACACGGUGAUCUCGUCUCCGUGCGCUCACACCGCCCCUAACUCCAGCCUAACAUUCUGUGGGGGGCCAUUUACGCUAUCCGGUUUCCGGGCCUAGUGCGGGUGCGGGCCCACUGAGGGCCACUCGGACUGCAAACGGCUUUUGAGAACCGGUCGCCGCAAGAAUUUGCCGGCAAAGGACGUCAAUCCAGCCUUUAAGCCCGCCCCUCCCUGCAGGUGCUGCUUAUUAUCAUAUAUGCAAAUAAGCCUUGCUCUUUUUUUCCUCUAUUCCACAAAAGACUUGGACAAGCGAGAGAAAGCGAGACUGUCUUUUCAUUCAAACUUGGUGUUUGCACUUUUCCCCCUUCCCUUCUUCAUCGUCCCCACAAAGAACAAAAAGAAAGAGGAGAAAAAGAAUGACUCGGAUUGACAAUCUGCGUGGGCGUGAAAGCGUGAUGUCGUUCUCAAGUACGCUUUGAUAGACACGAGUGCGGGGCGCUCUUUUGGAGGCGAGCAAGCAUCACUUAGGCGGUGAAGAAGGACGCCCAUGAAGGACAAUCUCAUUGGGAGAUGCGAUUUUUGGCCGGGCGCUGUCCAAAUGCUGAAUAGCGACUCACUCACUCUUGCGUCACUGCGACGAAGCCUUGCUGUGAAGACAUGUAAAAAGGAUUUGGAGCCAUGGCCUAUACAAGCAAUGGGGAAUGCUCUCGCUCUCUCUCUCUCUCUCUCUCUCUCUCUCUCUCUCUCUCUCUCUCUCUCUCUCUCUCUCUCUGUCUCUGUCUGUCUCUGUCUCUGUCUCUGUCUCUGUCUCUGUCUCUGUCUCUGUCUCUGUCUCUGUCUCUGUCUCUGUCUCUGUGUCUGUGUCUGUGUCUGUGUCUGUGUCUGUCUCUGUCUGUCUCUCUCUCUGUCUCUGUCUGUCUCUCUCUCUGUCUCUCUCUCUGUCUCUGUCUCUCUCUCUCUGUGUCUCUCUCUCUGUGUCUCUCUCUCUGUGUCUCUCUCUCUUUCUUUUUUUUUGCCCAGCCCAAGACUUCCACUGGGAGUCCUUGCCAUCCCUCCAGCCCUGCUCGCCAGACCGUUUUGAAAGUCUGUUUUGCACGAUAUGUCCGAAAAACACGGAAUGUGCCUUGCCUUCCUUUGGUUCAACAAGAAGAAUGACACAUUUUGCAAAUGUAGGAAAAACAUCUCCCGUACCGCUGCAAGAAAAGCAAACAAAAAAGUUGCAUGCCAGAUUGCUUGACGCUACGUCGCCUCGCGGGUCGGCAAAGGGUCACUUGGACGUAUUCAAAGCAAGUUGAUCACUGAGCAUACCUUCCACAUCCACUAGCGACGAAAUCUGCAAUAUGUAGAGCACAUGAAAUCCUUUUUUUUUUUUUUUUAAACACUAUCAUCUGCCUUGAAAGAGUCAAAGGACACUUCAGCCCAGUAAAAGAAACUUUUCAAGGUAUUUCAAGGCCUGUUUCCGCUCACGAUCAAGAAGCGGACAACUAUCAUAUCACAUCAGUUUGAGGAAAGGAACUCAUGCGAGCGUCAUAUCGUAUAGACUCUAUACGAUAGACUCCCACUUGAAGUUGACUGCAAAAAGCACAAAGGAAAAGAGACUGGAACUUUGCAUCUUUAAACACCAAAGUGUUCAACCAAAACGUUUGAAGGCAUUGCUAACGUCCUGCUCUAACGGAAAUCAGUAUGAAGGAAUAGAAAACUUUGCAAGUUGGUGGCAAACGCAAACUAGCAAAAAGCUUUGUGUGUCCUCGAACUUGCCAUCGGUGCCCAUUGCCUUUAGCAGCAACAAGAGGAGCCGGGUUGCAUGGCAGCAUGGUGCGUCGGCUGACAACAACACAGGUGAACUCCCGCUCAUUAUCUCAUUCAUUGUACAUGCUUGCUAUGGCACCAAUAACCAUGUGGGGGACAGCCACCAGAGACACAAAAAUCCACCCCCCUCCCCACAAAAAAAAAAAACUGACCGAUCAACCACCUACUUAACUGAUCUGCCAACCAAUCAAUUGGUGAUUCUACAAAAAAAACAACCAAUGAGUCAUCGGUUAACCAACCAAACAGCAAAUCAAUCGACCUAUUGACAAAUGAAGCAAUUGACUAGUCCCCCAGCCAAUCGACCAAUCAAUUGCCCAAACAGCCAACCAACAGCAACUAACUAUAAGCUACUAACCCCAAUAAUGAUCAACCUACCCACCAGCUAAUCAAUUGACUAACCAACUGAGCAAUCAACCAGUGGGCUAAUCAAGUAACCGAUCAAAGAAAUGAGUAACCUACAAAACAACCAACAGACGCACUGACAAAUCAACGACAACCAUUGCACAAGCAGCCAACGACUCGACUAUUUAACUAACCAACCAACGAUUGACCAACCUAAAAGUCAACCAACUGAUGACCUCACUAAUUUACCAACUGUAGCCAGUCUGAUCCCCGUUGAAGUAAAAGUGCCCCAAUUACCACAUGUAGAAAACCUUUUUUCCGUAAUUUGAGAGCUAAUAGACAAAAUAUCAAACAUCAAAAUGGUUUUCAUGAUAAACUGGGAUUAAGACAAAAGAGACAAUACAAUCAAGUGAUCCGACAUUCAAGAUAGCUGCCUUUUAAAGAUGUACAUAAUUUGACUCCCAUUUGUAGAAGCAACUUAUUCGAAGCUGUAUUUUCCGGACUAUAAGUCGUGCAGAGUAUAAAUCGCACCAGCCAUAAGAUACAUAAUAAAGACGAAAAAUACAUAAUCGCACUGGAGUAUAAAUUGCAUUUAUGGGGGAAAUUUAUUUGACAAAAUCCAACAAGAACAGACAUGAAUAACCAACAACAAGCUGAACUGUAUAGUAUGCUAACGUUACAUAAACACAUGAACGGGUAAAUGGGAACGUGCCUGAUGUAACAUUAAGAGUUAUUCAAAUAACUAUAGCAUAAAUAACAUGCUAACUAGUUUAUUGAACCAUCCGCGUCACUCAAUCACUCAUUAAAUCCAACGAAACCUUCAUCCUUGGUGUCACUUAUAAACAACUCCGCUAACCCCGGGAGUACAAGAUGCAGCGCUUCCUCUUGUACGUAGCUUACGUCAGACUCAUCGUCAGUUGCAGUUCCAAAUAUUCCACAGGCCUAGAGCGCCCUCAUGCGGUUUAAUGUGAAAAUAACGUGAGGUUAUAUAAUAAUGUGUUAAUAAGUUUACAUAUAAGCCGCUCCUGAGUAUAAGUCGCACCCAAACUAUGAAAAAAACGGAUUAAAUACGGUACUUUCUUUCCCCAAGCACAGCCUCCAAUUUACACUCUAAAAAGAAAAACGUCGCAGGCCUGAUCGCAACCCGUCCAGUAGGUGGCGUCCUCGCCAAAGGAAUUAAUCGAUGUACUCACAGUUCAGAAGACCCGCAGCAGGGACCGUGACGUGGUGCUCCAGUGAAGCAAAAGUAUACCUGCGACAAGCAUCAACCCUCUGUAAUCCAAAUUCCUUGGAUGGUGCUUCUUCGCGCCUCUGACGCGGCUCCCUCCAUUAGCCAGCUAGCAAGCUAUAAGCGCGGCUAGCUGUAGCUAACUAGCUGGUUGACGCUUGACCUGCAAAGGUAAUAAGAACAUAUUACCCAAUGUGUACAAGCGUCCCGGAGUUUAGAGUGUCGCCUUCUUGGCUACACGUCACCACUUGAUUACUAGAAGAAUGUUCUUCAACAUUGAUCACCUUUUGAUAAUCACUUUGGUCCGCACCCUUUCUCCUCUGUCUCUUUCUCCUUCACUGAUUGGCUCUGCAUCUUCUUUGAUGAUAACUGAGACGGGUCAAUCAAAGGAAAUUACGGAUAUAAUAAAGGUUAAAUAGGCAAGUAUUUUUUGAAAUACAAUGAAUUAUUUACAAAUGUUUAAUCCAACAAAACACUUCUAUAUUUAUGUUACACAUAUUAAUCACUUUGUCAAUUUAUUUUUUUAAAUACUACUAAUACUUUUUAAAAACAAAAUAGUCAUAAAUUGUUCAGACAUCAUCAGCCCAAAAUACUGACCAACUAACCAGUAAAAUAAUUAACUUACCAUCCAAUGACUUAACUCAUCAACUGACCAGUUGACUGUUCAACUGACCAAACAGUCACAUGACAGUCUGACUGACCAAUUGACCAACCAGCCCGUGAGCAGACUAAUCAACCAAGCAACCAAUUGCCCUACAAAGUCAACAAACCAAUCAAGUACAGACUAAAUAAGUAAUCUGUCAGUUGACCAACUCAAAGAAAGAAAAUUAGCCAACCAACCAGAUUUGAAGGCAGUGAAGAAGCCUUUUGGAUUUCUGCUGGAACUUCCUGUCAACUUGUCAUCUGGACGCUGCCCUUUGUGAUUUUCGGUGCCACCACAACAUCUGGAACACUUAACGGAUGCAAAGCGAAGCUGGCCUUGCGCAUAAAAGGAACCUUUCGCCGUUGACGCUUGACUUUAUUGGACGGGCAGUCGUGGAAGGGUCUACUCACUUUGAAAUCAGCUCAUCUUUACUCUAACGCUACAGCGCUUAAUUGAGAGCUGACACUUUAGUUGCACUCGACACUCCAGACAACAAGGGGCGGUGAGGGAAACGUGUGCUGCUACUGCUGCUACGCUAUAGCUAAGCGAAGCGGUGAAUGACAGCAUGGGCCGGCCUGAGCUCCGAUGGGCCGUUUGUUUUUUAUUAUUUUGCAUGUGCCCUUAUUAAGUUUAUCCAAUGAUGAAACACACACGUGUCUAAAUACUGAAUGUAUAUGAAAUGUUUAACCAACCAGUGGCCAAGCCACAUGCGCGCGAUCGUGAUGCUUAAGAUGCUAAAGCUAGCCUCUGCCAGGAGGAUAAAGUUUUUCUUUGCAAAGGAACAAAAAUGAGCGAGUGAAAUGUGAGAGCAAAAAAGACCAAAGCCAUGCAAAUUGUAUUACAAGGACAUUUUCGUUCAAGUUUUGAUUCCCUCAAAGGGCUUUUUUUGUCGCCCCCUCUCAAACCAAAGGUGACCAUUGUGUUCAUUUAGCCGAAUGUUCUUUGCUUUCCAUGCGUGCGAUGCCAUCUUGAUAUCAAACUUGAAAAUUACAUUUUGUGAAGGUAGGAAGAAGGGAAGCUGCCACGCAGAAGGAAAACAAUGCAAAGGCUGUGGGUUUUGCGGUUACAAGCUAAAUGAAUAGCUUGAGCAUUUAGCAUUCAUAGCUGCUUCUUGUUUUUCAACCAAAUGUCAUUUGUGUCUUGCGGUAUCAUUUUAGGCGGGCGAGCCACGAUGCAUGUGCUUUAGCAAACAUGGAAAUGAUGCAAUUUGCUGGAUUGAGCUCAGUCCGUGUGGUGACGGCACUUGGCAUUGUUUCCGUACGACUAGCAUGGAACGCUAACACGUCUAUUACGCUAAACUUUUUGGUGUUUUGCAAACAACAAAAAAAUUAUUUCAGUUGGUUUUCAUCGUGUUUCCAUUUGGAUUGUUUUUGGAAGGCCGCCCACCCAUGCGCCCACCCAUCCGUUUUCAGGCCGCACAAUAGCAGCGCAAGCAAAAAGCCAAGCUAGCGGCUCGUCACCAUUGCAAAACAACACCAUCCGCUUCACACUUGAAUGUCAGAUUGCAAUGUUCACUUUUUGGUGGUAAGUCAUCACGUUCAAAUGGAAUAAGUUUGUCUUCCGCUUAAGUCGAUAGCAGUCUUUUACUGAGGAAUCAAAUUUACUCACUCCGUAACUAGCGUUACAACAAGGCCAAGCGCUAAAAUGGAUUCAAAAUUUUGAACGGACUUUGCAUCCGGCAGUUGGAAGAAAUUGCUUCCGUUUGUUUUGCUUCAUGUGGAAUUCACACACAUUCCUCAACGUUGUGACUUAUCACAUUCCAUCUUGAAACUUUUUUUUCCUAGUGUGGUAGCAACGUGCUUAACAUGUGUGCAUCUUCCCCACUCUCUUUCCUUAAUAAAAAAAAAAAAAGCGAAUGCAAAAUUUUUCAUAUCAACCCUUAUUUAUUUGCAUGCCACGUCAAUCGUAAAAUGAGGAAGUGACAUCAUCCCAACAUGUUCAGUUCUUGCAUUUGGGCGAUGCUGAUGGAUUCCUUUCUUUGAGUAUGUUUGCCUAUGCAAAAAUAAAGAAGCUAAAUCACAA